UCAAUUUUUUUUUAUUAUCUUUUAAAAUUUAUAGAUAAUAAACAUAUUUUAAGUCCUAUAUAGUGUCCCAGGCAAAUGCAUUAAUGUGCUAUGUAUGUUAUCGAAAAUUAUUGAUUGACAUUAAAUUAUUACCAGAAGCAUAUAUACUAAAUAAUGUCUCUAAUAUUAUUUAGCUGUAAUAAAUGUGAGGUAUGAUUGCCAAUUAGACAGGCUGUUAAUUGGAUUAAACAUAUAUAUUCUUCAACUAAAUUAAAUAACUUCAUUGAAAUUAUAUCUAACAAUAUAGUUUAUAUUAUAUUAAAAUAUAUCAAAUAGUUUUAAGGUUUAGGACUUCUGGUUAAACUUUAUGCUCUACUAUAGGGGUGCUCCUAUGUAAAGGAUGCUUGUAAACAAAAGAAUUUGUUAUUUGUUCAUUUAUAUGUCUUACUUAGUCAGGACUUUAAGCAGUAAAUAUCAUUUUAAAACUGAAUUGAGUCAGUAAAGUCGGGAAGCUGAUUAUGAUAAGAAACAUUGGAUAGUGGUCUAUUGAAUGGGGAAACCAGCAUGUACCUAUUUGCACAUGGAUAACUAUUCUUCGUGACGAUAUCCGGGACCGGAGAUCGGUUUUUAAAACGCUUGAAAGAUUCAGAUGAAUGAUGCAAAUUUGAAGACGCCGGUAGCCAACUGACAACAACUUGUUGAACAAGUACUUGUUUCUGUUUAUUUAACGAGACAAACACAAUCAAUGAGCUAUGAGCACAUAGAUACUCGCGAAAAUAAUACAGCAGUACAUUGUAUUACAACAAAUGGACAGAGGAGUUGACUAUUGAUAGCGACUGAUAAUGGACUGGAGUAACCUAGCGUCCAAUGACUCUGAACAUGCCUGACAGUACUGGCAUGUGUACAUGUAUGUCGACAGCCAAUUCUAAGUAACCUUAAAGGUAUACAUUGUAUAUACAAAAGACCUACAAUAAUUAAUUAGCUCCUCAGAUGUCAGUGGAAUGGAAGUAAUACACAUCAUAUGUUUCAAUGAAAUUAAUAUGAUUAAUGAUGGGAUAAGACGUAGAGGAGGUCCUAUAGCUACAGUACAUGUACAUGUAACUGCAAAUGUAUUCCAAGAGUUUAUGGCUGAUUAUGCAACUACAGGAUUUUAUCAUUGAAGCAACAUCUUAGAAGGAUAAGUGCAAAUGUAUGAAGGAAGCCUUGUGUACAAAUACAUGUAGCAAUUACAUGCAGGAGAGAACACUUAAACAUUACUAACAUGUAGUCAUGAUAUUGGAGUGGUGCAUUCUAGAAAUCUAAACACCUGGAAUUAAAUAUUGUGUAUAUUUUUUUUCAGCCACAAGUACUUUCAGCAUAUAAUACAAUUCAAAUUCAAAUUAUUGUGUCAACAUGGCAGUUACUGUCUAAAAAUGGAAAAUGCUUGUUUUAAAAUGAAUUUUAUAUAAAA